rnacentral:piRNA from 1 species
UGAGAAAACUUGUCACAAUUUCCUGGG